AUUGAACGCUGGCGGCAGGCCUAACACAUGCAAGUCGAACGCGUGGCGCACGGGUGAGUAAUGUCUGGGAAACUGCCUGAUGGAGGGGGAUAACUACUGGAAACGGUAGCUUAUACCGCAUACCAUCAUAAGCGCCCAGAUGGGAUUGGCGAGGGGGUGGGGUAACGGCUCACCAAGGCGACGAUCCCUAGCUGGUCUGAGAGGAUGACCAGCCACACUGGAACUGAGACACGGGCCAGACGCCUACGGGAGGCAGCAGUGGGGAAUAUUGCACAAUGGGCGCAAGCCUGAUGCAGCCAUGCCGCGUGUAUGAAGAAGGCCUUCGGGUUGUAAAGUACUUUCAGCGGGGAGGCGUUACCCGCAGAAGAAGCACCGGCUAACUCCGUGCCAGCAGCCGCGGUAAUAC
rnacentral:rRNA from 1 species